UACGGGGGGAGCAAGCGUUGUUCGGAUUUACUGGGCGUAAAGGGCGCGUAGGCGGCCACCGCAAGUCACUUGUGAAAUCUCUGAGCUUAACUCAGAACGGCCAAGUGAUACUGCAGUGCUAGAGUGUGGAAGGGGCAAUCGGAAUUCUUGGUGUAGCGGUGAAAUGCGUAGAUAUCAAGAGGAACACCUGAGGUGAAGACGGGUUGCUGGGCCAACACUGACGCUGAUGCGCGAAAGCCAGGGGAGCAAACGGG
rnacentral:rRNA from 1 species